rnacentral:rRNA from 1 species
AUUGAACGCUGGCGGCAGGCUUAACACAUGCAAGUCGAGCGAGCGGCGGACGGGUGAGUAAUGUCUGGGAAACUGCCUGAUGGAGGGGGAUAACUACUGGAAACGGUAGCUAAUACCGCAUACCAUCAGAUGUGCCCAGAUGGGAUUAGCUAGGAGGUGGGGUAAUGGCUCACCUAGGCGCCGAUCCCUAGCUGGUCUGAGAGGAUGACCAGCCAAACUGGAACUGAGACACGGUCCAGACUCCUACGGGAGGCAGCAGUGGGGAAUAUUGCAAAAUGGGCGCAAGCCGGAUGCAGCCAUGCCGCGUGUAUGAAGAAGGCCUUCGGGUUGUAAAGUACUUUCAGCGAGGAGGAGGAAAGAGAAGAAGAAGCACCGGCUAACUCCGUGCCAGCAGCCGCGGUAAUAG